rnacentral:tRNA from 1 species
GUCCCCGUAGCCCAAUAGGAUAGAGCGUUGGCCUCCGGAGCCAAAGGUUGCAGGUUCGAAUCCUGCCGGGGACG